rnacentral:rRNA from 1 species
UACAGGGGGGGCAAGCGUUGUUCGGAAUUACUGGGCGUAAAGGGUCUGUAGGUGGCCAACUAAGUCAGACGUGAAAUCCCUCAGCUUAACUGGGGAACUGCGUCUGAUACUGGAUGGCUUGAGUGUGGGAGAGGAAUGCGGAAUUCCAGGUGUAGCGGUGAAAUGCGUAGAUAUCUGGAGGAACACUGGUGGCGAAGGCGGCAUUCUGGACCAUAACUGACACUGAGAGACGAAAGCCAGGGGAGCAAACGGG